CCAUGAUUUUGCCACAAACUGAGUUUUGAGGAGCGCUUGCCCUAAAGGGUCGUCUGGAUUUACCCCAGAGUACAGCUGAAGGGCUUUCCUCAGUCGUUCCAGCCACUCAGUAGGGCUUUCAUCUUUCUUUUGCAUUUCAUUAAAUGCUUUAUUGAUAUUCUGGCCACGGGGUACUGCUUCUCUAAUUCCCUGAAUUACUAUAGUUCUCAGGUCCUGCAUAUGAGUUCUAUGCACCGGAUCCUGAUUAUCCCAAUUAGGUCUUUGAAGUGGCCAUUUAAUAUCUGCUUGGGGUCCCUGGGCAUGUUGAGCAUCCCACAGUCUCAUUCCUGCUCGUCUAAUCAUAUCUCUUUCCUCGGUAGUAAAUAAUUGACCAAGGAUAGAUUGCAUCUCAUCCCAAGUAUAAAGGUUUGGUCCCAAAAAUUGAUUUAAUCUUUCUGCCACUCCCAGUGGGUCCUCAAUUAAGUUUCCCAUUUCGGUUCUUUUAAAAUCUCGUAGCUCAGCCGAGUUUAGGGGUACGGAAAUAUAUCCGAUCACAGGUUGAGGUCCCCCCAUGGGUAUUUCCCUUAGGGGGUACAUCUGAGCUGCCCCUUUUUGACUUCUAGUUACGCGUCUAGGAAGAGAGGGAGACCCUUGUUCCGACUCUGGUGGGGGAGUGGGCGCUCUGGGGACUUCUGCGGGAGCAGGAGGAGGAAUGUAAGGAGGGGGGGUUAGAAGGGUUUCGUCUAACUCUUCCUUCUUUUUCUUUUGUUUAGUUUUUAUUUCAUUCAGCGGAUAAAGUCUAGCUCUCGAGCGCCCACUCCCCCACCAGAGUCGGAACAAGGGUCUCCCCCUCUUCCUAGACGCGUAACUAGAAGUCAAAAAGGGGCAGCUCAGAUGUACCCCCUAAGGGAAAUACCCAUGGGGGGACCUCAACCUGUGAUCGGAUAUAUUUCCGUACCCCUAAACUCGGCUGAGCUACGAGAUUUUAAAAGAACCGAAAUGGGAAACUUAAUUGAGGACCCACUGGGAGUGGCAGAAAGAUUAAAUCAAUUUUUGGGACCAAACCUUUAUACUUGGGAUGAGAUGCAAUCUAUCCUUGGUCAAUUAUUUACUACCGAGGAAAGAGAUAUGAUUAGACGAGCAGGAAUGAGACUGUGGGAUGCUCAACAUGCCCAGGGACCCCAAGCAGA
rnacentral:lncRNA from 1 species